GCUGGUAUGGCAGCAGGAGCUGCCUGGGCCAUCUGGAAGACGAACAGCAAUCCUCUCUGCAAGUGCCUCUGGGCAGCGCCUCCCUAAAGCCAGCUCUGCCCUUGGGAAGCUCACAGGACAGAGGGGGAGGCAAGGGGAGUGGAGGGCUGAGGCCAAGUAAGGAAAGGGGAAUAGGGACACAAAGAAGAGCCCAGGAAGGCCUCUUGGGAGAGGCAGCUCCUAAACUGAGCCCUGAAGGAUGAUAAGAUUUAUGCAGAUGAACGAGGACCAGAAAGGACACUGCAAGGAGCCGCCCCCCCUGAGACGGUAACCGUGUCCCCCACCUGGAGACUCAGUCUCCUAUGCUGUCAAAUGGGACAGUCCUAGUGGGUCUGGCCGGGCAGGGUUCUCACAAGGACCCAGCAGUCUCACUACCCAUUUGUUCAUUGCUUUCAUGAUCAAUCGUCACCUGUCUUCCUUGACACCAUCCCACGCCAGGGCCUGGAGAGGCCAACAAGGAUCAGAUAAGGCCCUGGAAGGUUCUGGCUACUCCCAGGCCAGAAAGGAAGAUGAAUGAGAAGAGAUGAUGACAGUCUGCAUUCAGGCAGGGUCUCCAGAGGGGCAGGGUCUGAGUCUUUCAGGGAUAUUCACGUCCACUUUGCUACUUGAUCAGGAUGAAGAGGAGGUGGGUAUCUCUGGAAGGCCAACAGGGAGGUGUACUGAAUGAGGAAAAGUCCCCAGACAGGGCCCCCAAAGCUGAAAGCUGAGGCGGGAGCUCAGAGACCCACCCUAGCUCGAAUAUGCCACAGAGACAGCAAUGGCUUCACUGAAAAGGUGGUGGGACCAAGUGCAGCCGCCCACAGCUCUGCCCACACUGCUCUGGCCCACAAUUGCCCAGUGAUCCCCACAGGGACUUGCUGAGGCCUGGGGUGGGGCCCACUCCCCAAGGCAACCAAUCAGAGACAGCUGUGGCACAUGGACAUGAGGCCAAGGGCAGGAGCAGCUCCUGUCUGGGUCUCAGUUCUCUCCUCAUCUCCCCCAUGAUAACGUAAAGACAAAGUGAGGCUUCCAGGAACUCAGCAUUGCAGAGGUGGCUGUCACCAUGGCAGUCUGCCCUGAGCCAGCAGGACCCAGUUCCUGAUGGGGAGGUGGGAGGGGGAGACAGAAGAGAGAAGCAGGUGCAGCCGGUCCCCUGCCAAGGCGCCUGGGCCAGCGCUGGAUGCAGGGGAUCCCACAGCACACCAUCUGCCCUACACGUAAAGACUUUCUGACCAUUGCCUAGGUGUGGUUCUCUGGGCUGGGAACGGCCUCCUUCCUGCCCUGCAGACCAUUCCCCAGCAGCAGCCAGAGGGGUCUUUCAAAUGCCAGAGUCACCCCCAGGCUCAAAACCCUGGGAGCCUGUUGUCUUCAGAACACGUUUCACAGUCCUUGGCUUGGGAGGCAGCCUGGCUGGGAGUUUCAGGCCUGGGCCUAAAUCCGGCCUCUCAGAGCACCAGCCAUGCGGGUGUCAAUGUUCCUGCAGCCGGGCCCAGGGCCUCCCUUGCACAAAGAGGAGAGUCCAUGGCGUUGGAAAAACAAAGAAAGAGUAUAUAUGGGCCAAGCUCCUUGCUGUCAGGCACGCACAGCCCUCAAGGACAGAGUGGACGAAGGCACAAGCCUCAGCCCUGGACCCAGGCUUCCCCUGCGCACAGAAUCCCUCAGGCUUCCUGCCCUCAAUGAGGUGGGUCUGGGCACAUGAGGCCCCUGCUCCCUGACCACUGGGCUGUGGGAGGGCCACCUGGGUCACCCCAGAGGUCCAGGAGCUCCUGGAAAUCAGUGCCCACCAGGUGCGGGAAGCGCCUCUGCCCUUGCCCCUCCAGGCCCAAGGCAGGGAAGGGUAACUUUCUGGACAAUGUCCAGGUGAGGCUGCUCCUCCAGGUGCUCCCAGGUAAGCUCCAGGUAAACGGGCUUUCCCAGCCCCUGCUGGUUUCCCUAACCACCCCUCUCACCCCAAAACAUCCUUCAUCAGCCCCACAAUUGCCCACUGGAGAUUCUGUGGCUCCUUCACGCCAGGCCCCUGAUUCAUGGAGAGUCACUCAAAGGGAGACAAACUAGAAAGUAGAAGUGGUGGCUCACGCCUGGCAUCCCAGCACUAUGGGAGGCCGAGGCAGGCAAAUCACUUGAGGUCAGGAGUUUGAGACCAGCCUGGCCAACAUUGUGAAACUCCAUCUCUACCAAAAAUACAAAAAUUAGCCAGGCAUGGUGGCGCACGCCUGUAAUCCCAGCUACUCAAGAAGCUGAGGUAUGAGAAUUGCUUGAACCCGGGAGGCAGAGUUUGCAGUGAGCUGAGAUCGCACCACUGCACUCCAGCCUGGGCGACAGAGGGAGACUCCAUCUCAAAAACAAAACGUAGAAGUCCCAUAGCCUCAGCCCAGGGAGGCUGUGAGAGACGGCCUGGUCCCCACCCUCACUCCCUGCCUGGCCUGGGGAGCAAAGCCCCCACAAAAAGCAAGUGCAAAGCAAUGCAUGGGCAGAGGUGCAGGAGGGGAACUAGGCUGGCAAAUGCGAAUUUAAACGAGCCAUUCAUUGCCAAGCAGUGCGUUAUGGCACUCAGAGACAUAUAAAGGGACUCUUGACAUAAAAAGGACCCCCUUAGCUCCAGGCCCACCUCCUGUUCUUGUUCUGCCCGAUCAUUCACCUGGGGGCAUGAGGCUGGGUGGGGUGUCCCUCCCCUUCCUAUGAUUUCUCCUGCAAAAAGCAUCCAGGGCAGCAUUUAUGGACCACCUGCAGAUACCUAACCCUGGGCUAAAAAAAGUAAGGAAUGUCAACUGCCGUGUCUGGGAAGCCUUGCUGGUGCUGGUGACCAGGGCAGGACGCUGGGUGGACACAAACUAGGGAAGGGGCGGGGCUUGGAGUCACCACCGCAGGCGGCCUCCCACCUCUGAAAAGGUCCCUGUCCUCUGGCUGGGCCCACCAGCCACAUGGCUCAAAUGUUUCUUCCUGCCUCCCCAGCCUGUGGAGAGGGGAGGAAGCUCUGAGGGCCUGGGACUGCCUGGGAAUCCCACUAAUACUGUAUCUGGGAGAGCAAUGCCCCCCCCCCACAUGCACACAGACACAUAUGCACACCUGGCCCACACACACAGACACAUGUGCACACCUGACCCCCAUAUACAGACACAUGUGCACACCUGCACACACACAUGUGCAUACCUGCUCACACAGACACAUGUGCACACCUGUUUACACACAUACACAUGUGCACCCCUGCCCACACAAACACGUGCACAUCUGCCCACAUGCAUACAUACACAUGUGCACACCUGCUCACACACGUGCACACCUGCCUUCACAUACAUACACAUGUGCACACCUGCCCACACACAUACACAUGUGCACACCUACACACACAUACACAUGUGCACACCUGCCCACACACAUGCACACCUGCUCACAGGCAUAUGCACACCUGCUUACACACAUACACAUGUGCACACCUGCCUAAACGUGCACACCUACUCACAUGCACACAGACGUGCACACCUGCUCACACUGAGACACACAUCAACACCUGCCUUCACAUACAUACAUAUGUGCACACCUGCUCACACUCGGACACAUAUGCACACCUGCCCACACACAUG
rnacentral:lncRNA from 1 species